rnacentral:rRNA from 1 species
CCUACGGGAGGCAGCAGUGGGGAAUUUUGGACAAUGGGCGAAAGCCUGAUCCAGCCAUUCCGCGUGCAGGAUGAAGGCCCUCGGGUUGUAAACUGCUUUUGUACAGAACGAAAAGGUUUCUACUAAUACUAGGAGCUCAUGACGGUACUGUAAGAAUAAGCACCGGCUAACUACGUGCCAGCAGCCGCGGUAAUACGUAGGGUGCAAGCGUUAAUCGGAAUUACUGGGCGUAAAGCGUGCGCAGGCGGUUAUAUAAGUCAGAUGUGAAAUCCCCGGGCUCAACCUGGGAACUGCAUUUGAGACUGUAUAGCUAGAGUACGGUAGAGGGGGAUGGAAUUCCGCGUGUAGCAGUGAAAUGCGUAGAUAUGCGGAGGAACACCGAUGGCGAAGGCAAUCCCCUGGACCUGUACUGACGCUCAUGCACGAAAGCGUGGGGAGCAAACAGGAUUAGAUACCCUGGUAGUCCACGCCCUAAACGAUGUCAACUGGUUGUUGGGUCUUAACUGACUCAGUAACGAAGCUAACGCGUGAAGUUGACCGCCUGGGGAUACGGCCGCAAGGUUGAAACUCAAAGGAUUGACGG